rnacentral:rRNA from 1 species
GACGAACGCUGGCGGCGUGCUUAACACAUGCAAGUCGAACGAGUGGCGAACGGGUGAGUAAUACGUGAGUAACCUGCCCUCUUUUUGGGAUAAGCCUUGGAAACGGGGUCUAAUACCGGAUAAAGGGGGAUGGGCUCGCGGCUAAUCAGCUUGGUGGUGGGGUUAUGGCCUACCAAGGCGGCGACGGGUAGACGGCCUGAUGGGGUGACCGGCCACAUAGGGACUGCGAUGCGGCCCAGGCUCCGCAGGUGGGGAGCAGUUGUGGCUAUUGCACAAUGUGCGAAAUCCUGAUGCAGCGACGGCGCGUGGGGGUUUAAGGCUGUCGGGUUGUAUACCUAUUUCGGUACCGAACGGGUAGGUGUAGAAGAAGCGCCGGCUAACUACGUGCCAGCAGCCGCGGUAAUUC